rnacentral:lncRNA from 1 species
UUUUAUGUGUUGAAAACAUGAUUUUUAUUUGAAUUUAGAAAGCUAUUUCCUUGUGUUAAAACUUAUCUCCUAGUCCCUCUUUUAAUGUCUUAUAAUUUCUAGUCAAAUUGAGAAUGUUAUUUCUUUGUAUUAAAGCUUUUCUCCUCAUCUAUCUUUUAAUGCAUUAUUAUGUUUUCAUAUAUAUUGUUAAUGGGUAUAUGUUAUUACUAGUCCAUGGGCCAGGGCUGGGCCAGUUUUAUGUAAUGCAUGCUCAAUCAUGUAUAAUGCACAUGACCAGUAGAUGGACUGGCUCAAUCUAGCCCAAUAUUAUUGUUGAACUUGAGCCUAAAUAUUGAUUGAAUUAAACUAGACUUGAUUAGUCUAGAUCAAUUCAGGGUGAUUCCGAAUUGAUUGACUUAUUCAAGUUAGUUUAACCUAAAUUGAACUUAAUCUAGUCUAAAUUAUACUAGUCUAGGAUGGUUCCAGACCAGUUAAAUAAGGAUUAGAGAUCAGUUCAGUUAGGCUAUAGUAAAUCGAGUUCAAUUGAAUCGAUUAAACUAGAGUUCAAGUCAAUUGAGGGUUAAUUUAUAUUAUUUGAUAUUGAUGAUUUUUGAAAGAGAUGUUUUAAAUAUGUUAUUUCAUCUCGAAAUGGAUAUGACCAGUGUGAGAUUAUAUUCCUGCCGCGAGCAGGUAGGGCGAUUCCCUUCGGGGAUUAGCGGGCCGUCAGACGUGGCGGCUGGACGGUUCCUCCAUCCGCUGUUGGGAGGAACGUGUCCCCACUUUGGCGGGUGUGGGACACCACUCCAUCCGCUGUUGGGAGUGUGAUAUGAGUUUGCCUCCAUCCGCUGUUGGGAGAACACAAACUCAUCCCGUAGGAUAAAGCCUCUCCAUCCACUGUUGGGGGAGUGCUCCUUCGGGUAUUUGAUAUACGCCAAUGGGAUGAUUGAUUGAAUUUUGAUCAUGUAUUUAUUUUGAUUUGACUUUUGGGGUUCCUACUCAGCAUUGCUGAAUUUUCUUUGUUUUUGAUUUUCAG